UCAUCCACUGAUGGCGUCGAGCAUCGCCGAGGAUGUGAUCGAAUGCGGAAUAUUCGAAACGAGGAGCUUCAUUCCGGAUUUUGUUUGCAAUAAGCGCUGAACUCAUCCUCCAGCUUACAACGAACGGUCAACGGAUGAGGAAGGAGAGGAGGGACGGCAAAGGUACACGCAUAAACGUGCACACAUCAGCCUUCUCGGAGAACGAGAACACGGGAGGGGGAGACCGGCAACGUAUAAAACCUUUACGCUCCCUCGUGCGUUCGUGCGUGCGUGCGCGCGCGCGUCUAUGUGUGUGUAUGUGUGUGCAUACCUGCGUGCGUGGCUGUGUGUGUUUUUGCCGCUUCGCAUAACGAGAUCCUACGGGAUUACCUUGCGAAAAACACCAAGAGAGGGGGAGGGGUAGGUAUGUGUGUAUGUGUGUGUGUAUGUGUGCUUGCAUGCGUGCGUGGCUGUGUAUGUCUGUGUAUGUGUGCUUGCAUGCGUGCAUGGCUGUGUAUGUGUGUGUAUGUAUGCUUGCAUGCGUGCGUGGCUGUGUAUGUGUGUGUAUGUGUGCUUUUGCUGUUUGGCGAUCUCCUACGGAAUCACCUUGCGAAAACACGUGGGGGGGGGGGAGGAGGAGUGAGGUGUAUGUGUGCUUGCCUGCGUGCUUUGUGUGUGUGUUUUUGCGUUCACGUUCUACGGGAUCACUUUGCGAAAAACACCAAGGGGAGGAGGAGGUGUGUGUGUGUGUGUAUGUUUUUUUUUCUUUGCCGAUUCGCACUCUCUCGCAGAUCUAGUUGUGUGCGUUAGUUUUUUUUUUAGUUUCUUCGAAAAAUACCUGGGGGAGGAUGUGUGUAUGAAAGAAUGUACUUCAUAAAAGAAAGUGAAAAAUAAAAAACGAAUAUGAAAUAUGUUAAACGAAGUUUUAAGUGUGUCUGAACUCAUUGCAAUCCGAAAGAAAGCGAGGGGGGCUCUUGAAAUGUAGUACACAUGUAUGCAACAUGUAUCGUGUCGCCGCGACGGUGUAUCUCGCUCAAUCCGUUAAGCCUGAAAAGUGCUUCUAUCGGAUCGUCUAAUCGGGCGCCAUUUAAUCAAUCCGUUAGCAAAAAGUCGCAUGGAUUUUGGUACCGGGGAAACAAUUGGAGGGGGAGGAUGUUUCGGUUUGCUCCAGAAAUCGUGCGUGAUUUUGGUGUUCUGGAUUUGGUUCCAUGCCUGUUUGUUUUGGUGAAUUUGAAAAGGUAAGAAUCGUCAACCGAUGUAAAAGUGUGAGAGUAAGAUGAUGCUGAUGGUGACUGAUGCUUUUCUUUGUUUCUUUUCCUGCUUUCAUCCACUGAUGGCGUCGAGCAUCGCCGAGGAUGUGAUCGAAUGCGGAAUAUUCGAAACGAGGAGCUUCAUUCCGGAUUUUGUUUGCAAUAAGCGCUGAACUCAUCCUCCAGCUUACAACGAACGGUCAACGGAUGAGGAAGGAGAGGAGGGACGGCAAAGGUACACGCAUAAACGUGCACACAUCAGCCUUCUCGGAGAACGAGAACACGGGAGGGGGAGACCGGCAACGUAUAAAACCUUUACGCUCCCUCGUGCGUUCGUGCGUGCGUGCGCGCGCGCGUCUAUGUGUGUGUAUGUGUGUGCAUACCUGCGUGCGUGGCUGUGUGUGUUUUUGCCGCUUCGCAUAACGAGAUCCUACGGGAUUACCUUGCGAAAAACACCAAGAGAGGGGGAGGG